CCUACGGGGGGCUGCAGUGGGGAAUAUUAGACAAUGGGGGGAACCCUGAUCCAGCCAUGCCGCGUGUGUGAAGAAGGCCCUCGGGUUGUAAAGCACUUUCAGUGAGGAAGAACGCCUGGUGGUUAAUACCCAUCAGGAAAGACAUCACUCACAGAAGAAGCACCGGCUAACUCCGUGCCAGCAGCCGCGGUAAUACGGAGGGUGCGAGCGUUAAUCGGAAUUACUGGGCGUAAAGCGCGCGUAGGUGGCUUGAUAAGCCGGUUGUGAAAGCCCCGGGCUCAACCUGGGAACGGCAUCCGGAACUGUCAAGCUAGAGUGCAGGAGAGGAAGGUAGAAUUCCCGGUGUAGCGGUGAAAUGCGUAGAGAUCGGGAGGAAUACCAGUGGCGAAGGCGGCCUUCUGGACUGACACUGACACUGAGGUGCGAAAGCGUGGGUAGCAAACAGGAUUAGAUACCCGAGUAGUC
rnacentral:rRNA from 1 species